rnacentral:rRNA from 1 species
CGCAGCCGCGGUAAUUCCAGCUCCAAUAGCGUAUAUUAAAGUUGCUGCAGUUAAAAAGCUCGUAGUUGAAUUUCGGGACCAUCAUGUCGGUCGUGCCUCGGUACGUACUGGUAUUGUUGGUUUCUCCCUUCUGACGAGCCAUGAUGUCAUUUAUUUGGUGUUGUGGGGAAUCAGGACUGUUACUUUGAAAAAAUUAGAGUGUUUAAAGCAGGCUCACGCUUGAAUACAUUAGCAUGGAAUAAUGAAAUAGGACGUUUGAUUCUAUUUUGUUGGUUUCUAGGAUCGACGUAAUGAUUAAUAGGGAUAGUUGGGGGCAUUAGUAUUCAAUUGUCAGAGGUGAAAUUCUUGGACUUAUUGAAGACUAACUACUGCGAAAGCAUUUGCCAAGGAUGUUUUCAUUAAUCAAGAACGAAAGUUAGGGGAUCGAAGACGAUCAGAUACCGUCGUAGU